GAUGAACGCUGGCGGCGUGCCUAAUACAUGCAAGUAGAACGCUGAAGCUUGGUGCUUGCACCGAGCGGAUGAGUUGCGAACGGGUGAGUAACGCGUAGGUAACCUGCCUCUUAGCGGGGGAUAACUAUUGGAAACGAUAGCUAAUACCGCAUAAAAGUCGAUAUCGCAUGAUGUUGACUUGAAAGGUGCAAUUGCAUCACUAAGAGAUGGACCUGCGUUGUAUUAGCUAGUUGGUGAGGUAACGGCUCACCAAGGCGACGAUACAUAGCCGACCUGAGAGGGUGAUCGGCCACACUGGGACUGAGACACGGCCCAGACUCCUACGGGAGGCAGCAGUAGGGAAUCUUCGGCAAUGGGGGCAACCCUGACCGAGCAACGCCGCGUGAGUGAAGAAGGUUUUCGGAUCGUAAAGCUCUGUUGUAAGAGAAGAACGAGUGUGAGAGUGGAAAGUUCACACUGUGACGGUAACUUAUCAGAAAGGGACGGCUAACUACGUGCCAGCAGCCGCGGUAAUACGUAGGUCCCGAGCGUUAUCCGGAUUUAUUGGGCGUAAAGCGAGCGCAGGCGGUUAGAUAAGUCUGAAGUUAAAGGCUGUGGCUUAACCAUAGUACGCUUUGGAAACUGUUUAACUUGAGUGCAGAAGGGGAGAGUGGAAUUCCAUGUGUAGCGGUGAAAUGCGCAGAUAUAUGGAGGAACACCGGUGGCGAAAGCGGCUCUCUGGUCUGUAACUGACGCUGAGGCUCGAAAGCGUGGGGAGCAAACAGG
rnacentral:rRNA from 1 species